UUUAUUUUCUGUGUUCCAUAAUUUGUUUACACACACAAAAUAUCUGGUACAAAUUUUGGACCAUGUGAAACUUUGUACAUGAUAAAAAUUUAUAUUAUAAACAUAAAAUUGUUUCAUGAUCAAGCAUGUCACUUUUCUUUUUUUACUAUCUUUGAAAAAAUUUGCUUCCACAGCUUCCUAGAGAUAUUUGGUUAGAUGUUUCUAAAGCACAUCACAGAAUUGGUUUCCUAAGUUUGAUAGUCAAAGUCUUUGGGGGUUGUUUCUUCUAGUGUUGUAAAACAAUGUACUAGAUUUUAUUUUCCACGACUAGAUAACUGAACCACAUCUUUUUGUGUGUGAACUUUUCAUCUCCACAUUGCUCAUACACCAUAAUCCCCACACGAAUGUUUCUGGCUCUAGUCCAUUGUCAUUACUUUUCUGCUCCUCAGGUCCUAUGUAAGUGCUACACUUACUGCAAUCCUUUUGUUUGGGGUGAGGCUAGAGACAGGGUUUCUGUGUGUAGCUCUGGCUGUUCUGGAACUCAUUCUGUAGUCCAGGCUGACAUGAACUCAAAGAUCCACCUGACUCUGCUUUCGUGUGCUGGGUUUAAAGGCAUGUACCACCACUGUCUAGAGUUUAUUACAACCAUAUAAAGUCCCAAGUCUAAUAGGAAAAUGUACCUUGUAGCUAGUUUGUGUUUUAGAAUUAGUUUUGAAAUAUCAAGCAGCUAUUGAUUCAACUAAUGUUAGAAUUAAUUUGUGCCAGGCGUUGGUGGCGAAUACCUUUAAUCCCAGCACUCUGGAGGCAGAGGCAGACGGAUCUCUGUGAGUUCGAGGCCAGCCUGGUCUCCAGAGUGAGUGCCAGGAUAGGCUCCAAAGCUACACACAGAAACCCUGUCUCGAAGAACCAAAAAAAAAAAAAAAGAAUUAAUUUGUUUAAUUCCAAGAAAAAUUAUAUUUUUUCUUGGAAACUAAAUAAGGUUUUGCUAUAAGUAGCACAAAUAUAGAAAUUGUUCUUAGGGAAAUUGAUCAUUUUAGAAUGGUGAAAUUUUAUGCUUAUGAAUGAAUUAUAUAUAUAUAUAUAUUAUUUUAUUUAACAACUAUUAACAAAAAAAUUAGUUGUAUUUACUGUAUGUGUGAAUAUUUAUGUGUGUUGUCUGUUUUUUUUUUUUUGUGUGUGUGUGUGUGUGUAUGUGUGUGUGUGUGUACAUACCACAAAGUACUUGUGGCGGUCAGAGAACAACUUGUGGGAGUUGGUUUUUUCCUUCCACUAUCUGCAUCCUGGGGACUGAACUCAGGUUGUCUGACUGAGGGGUUGCUACCUGUACCUGCUGAGCCAUCUCUCAGUCGUGAAUUUUCUUUUUUGUCUUUCCAUAACAUUUUAUAAUUUUCUUUCUUUAUUUUUUGAGACAGGAUUUCUCUGUGUAGCUUUGUAGAUCAAGCUGGCCUCAAACUCACAUAGAUCCACCUGCUUCUGACUCUGGAGUUCUGGGAUUAAAGGUGUGUGCCACCACCAUCCAGCUUCAUAAUUUUCUCAAUAUACCUCUUCUCUUUAUUUUGUUAUAUUCAUUUCUAUGUACUUUAUAUUUGAGUUGCUUUUGUAAAUUAUAUUUUAAUGAAAUUUAUUGCUUUUUACUGAAUACAGUUUGUCUCUGAAUUCUGAUUUUAAAGUUAUCAGUGGCUCUAACUUCUUUCUAGUUUAUUUUAAAAUUUGCAAAAGAUUCUGUGAUAAUAUUUUCCCUUUGUUUUUGAGUUAUGAAACUCUCUUUACUGAUAAAUAAAAAUGUGAUACGAUUUUCUGAAUGUUUAAAGUGGGGACAAGGAUUUAUAGAGAUGCAUAGCCUAAGCGAUGGGCCUCCAUGGAUAAGCACAGAGAAUGUGUGCGUUUGUGUUUCUUGUGACUGCUCAUCAAAGGGCAUCCACUGAAAAACAAAGCCUUGAUAAUUAAAUGGACAGAAUAUCUCUUUGUGAGGAUAUUAACUUUUUUGCUUCUACCAACCCUAUGCUUUUAAAUGUUCAUGUGAGGACUGUGGUGCAGAAAUAGAAAUAGGAGCUGUAUAUAGGUCAGAGGCAUGAAUUAUCUCACCAAGGAUGGUGUGGCUAUUACCAUUUCUGAUUUCCUCACUUUCCAACAGCACAGACUGGUACUGGGAUCUGGUAAGUGGAAAUGUUCUCUAAGAGAACCAGAUGGACAUCUAGUAACAGCUUGAUUGCAAUGGAUUCAAUCCAGAAUGGAGUGUGAUUAGAUUUCCUAUUUGUAAUAAUUACUUUAGAAAUGAAUUGACCUUUCUAGACCUCUACAUUAUGCAGACCUUAUCAUAUGGGAUCUCAAAAAAGUCACACUUGUUUUGACCAAGAAACUAGGUUCAAAUAUAAGAAACACAGGUACCAGGCUAGAACUUCUAAACCACACUAUCCUUUUUAUAUACUCUUUCACUCUACAGACCUUGAGAUGAACAGAACAUGGAAUGACCCACCACAGGAUUAACUAUGACCAAGCAACAGUGAUGGCCAUCUUAGAGAACAGCUAACAUAUGACACCACUUCAAAAGCAGAAACAUUGCUUAGGAAACAAGCAGCAGAUGGAGGACUUCAAGGGGAAGAAACCCUUCUGACAAGAGACUAAACAAUGGUUUCAUUGGUUAAAUUGUCAUUGGUUAAAUAUGACCUCACAUAGCGCUACUUGGGGAGGACUGAUUUUAUUUCUGAUGAGUAAAAUGGGUGAAGAGUUUACAUAUAAGAUUCUUCAGGAAAAGAAUCCUAAGCAGGUAUUAAUCAGGACAAGAAUGAAGGACAAACUUAGUGGUAAAAGAAAGAAGUUAUUCUUCACUAGGACUUUGUCAAUAAUUAUGGGUGGGAAAUGCAGCAGUAUGUUCUUUCUUAUUUGUUGUUUACAUAUAUGUGUGUGUGAUGCAUGAUUUUAUAUAAUUAUGUGUAACUCAAUUGAUUGGGUAUAUGUUGAUUCAAGUUUUAUCUGGCAGGUUUUGUUUUUCACUCUUUAAUUACUACUUAUAUUUACAUAUCCAUCCCCCUUCUAGCCCUUGCCCUCCCAUCCUCCUAUAUUCCCCACCAACCUCCCCCCAGUCGAUCCCCCAACUCCUCCCCAGGGAUAGUGAGGCCCUCCACAGGGGACCUUCAAUGUCGUCAUAUCAUUUGGGGGAGGGCCUAGGCCCUUUUUGCUGUAUCUGGGCUGCAAUAGUAUCCCUCCACAGGGAAUGGGCUCCCAAAGUCUAUUUGUGCUCCAGGGUUAAAGACUGGCUCCACUGUUAGAGGUCCCUUAGACUGCCCUGGCCUCCUAGCUGGCACCCACAUGCUCAUUAGGUCAGGUCAACUGUUUUUGCGGGUUUCUUCAGCACCAUCUUGGCUCCUUUGCUUAUACCUCCUCCCUCUCCACAACUGGUCACAAAAAAAUAAACAUAAGCCUUUAUCUGGUAGCUGUUUGAAGCAGAGACAGGCACCCACAGCUGAGCACUGAACCAUACUCCUGGUAUCUGGCAGUUUUGAGAUCUGGAAGAUGAAAUAGGAAUUGAUUACAAUACUCACAUUUAUAGUAUGCACACUAAAAUUGGAAGGAUAUAGAGAUUAGCCUGGCAAGGUAACAGGUUGUACUUUCAUGUCAAUUGUGUGAUGGUGAGCUUUUAUUGUCAUAGGGAUUGAAUGAAGAAAGCACUAGUGUUAUAAUGAGGUGUGCUUUGGCGUGUGUCUGUGAGUUCUUUUUUAGAGAUUAAUUGAAGGAAAAAGAUUCAUCUUGAGUGUAAGAGACAUCCUCUUAUGGGAGGGGCUCCUGUACUGAGUGAGGUGGAAGAAGAAAGCCAUCUAGGUGUUGGUCAGUUGGUCUUUCUCUCCCUCUUCCUUCCCUCUUUCUUUCCUUCCUUCCUUCCUUCCUUCCUUCCUUCCUUCCUUCCUUCCUUCCUUCCUUCCUUUCUUUCUUUCUUUCUUUCUUUCUUUCUUUCUUUCUUUCUUUCUUUCUUUCUUUCUUUCUUCUGUUUCAUAAUCCAUCCAGAUGACAGCUGGCAGCAAUCUGAACCAUGACAGACUGUGCCCCAAACCAUGAACCCAAAAUAUCCUCAUUCGCUAAAGUCACUUCUAGCCAUACAUUUGGUCACAGCCAUGGGAAAAACAACUACAAAGAGAAGGGAUUUUUUUAUGUAACAUCUUGUUUUCCAUUAUAACAGCUUUCAAGGGAGCAGGUGUGUAAAGAUGUACUCCUAUCAUUAUAAAUUUUGUUAUUUGCUUUUGGCUGGAUUUCCAGUAUCUGAACAUUCUUUACAGAAAAAUCCAACCCACCCUUCAAAACCCAGUAGGGAUCUACAAAUAUCUGCACUGACAAUACUCUCUGAGCUUGUGCCCUGCAGUGGCUCCGAAAUGUGCUCUGUUUAUUGACUAUGAUAUCUUAAGUUUUUGAAUUUCUAAGUAUGGUCUUACUGCUUUUAGUUAAAUAUUGCUUGCUUUAUAAACAAACAUCAUUGUAUGAUCAGCAAGUACAUAGGAUACUUUUCAAAUAGAACUACUUUUUGAUGUUAGGAUUUGGGCUAUGAGAGUCUAAAAUAAGGCAAGUAUUAGCUCUUUUUUAGUAAAACCUUAAUAAAUAAAAACUAACUCUGGGCAUGGUAUUAAGUUAAUAAUCUAUAGUUGUGCCUGAAGCUGAACACAGCAGUAUAAAUCCAAGUUUUCCAGAGGAAGGAAAAAUAGAUUUACUACUGUCUGUGCUCCUAUAUGAUUUAAAUUUUCAAAAUGUUAGGCUUCCUACCUAUAGAGGACUUACAUAUUAGUUGGUUGUACAAUUUGCUUCCCCUGGAGACAAAAGAGUUCUAUGUAAAUAAGUAGGUGAUUGUAAAGUAUGGCAUGGCAGGACAUCUCUCCUGUAUUUCCAGACCUGGAAAGGGUAGGGCUAAGCAUAGACUGUUUCAUUACACCAUGAAAGAACAAUGAAGAACUAUUGAAUGUUUAUAUGUCUAAAUAAAAUUUUUGAAUAAAGUGAUUACCUGAAGGCAGUAUUUGAAACCAUUGAAUGAUGGGGUUUACCAAUCCUCAUAUACUCAAAGCACAGAGCACUGUUAUCCAGGAGGAUAAAUUGGAGACAUAUGGAUGAAUAAGUCUGAGUUACUGAGAGAAUGAUAGCAGGGGUAUGAAAUGUGAGAAUCCAGUGUCCAUGUGCUGAUAUUUCCCAUUGCAGUCUGCGAUACUCCUAUAGAGUUGGAAUGCUUGUGGCCAUUUUAUUAAAAUCACUUCUAAAAUAUUACAUUCUUUUCCUAUUUUUAAAAGAGAAGCAUAGUUAUUAGUAGAUAAUGUGGGGAGGUCAGAAGAAAAUAAAAGUUAGAACUCUGAUUGUCCUUGGCCAGCAUUAUUUGUUUGUUUGUUUGUUUGUUUGUUUUGUUUUGUUUUUUUGCAUGAACAAUGUCACGGCAUGUGGAUCACAUAUAGUUAAAAUUUGGGGAAAGUGAUCCCUCUUACUCAUCCUUAUAUCUCUAGUAAUGGCAAAUUUCUACUUGAUUUUCUUAUGGAAUCUUUGCCUUAUUUCUGUUACUUGAGUCAUGCUGUUGGCUUUAUGUUGCUAGCAAAUAUUUCAUGGUGGAAAAAAAAAGGUUUGAUGAAUUUCUUUGGACAUGACAUUUUUCUCAUUUUCAGAUUGCUACACAGUAGUGAAAUUACCCAGUCAAAGCCAGCCACCUCUUAUCUGAUGCACUGGCUGGCUCCUAGAAACUUAAUCAUCUCCAGCGUCACCUUUUUAAUAAUAAAAUAUAUAAUGCCAAUCCAUCUUCCAGUCCUGAAAACAGGUGCCCUCUACUUGUAAAGGACUUUCAUGUUAUGCAUGGCAUGGGUUAGCUGAAGCGAUCACCCUGUUAACCCUCAUGCAGGCAACUUGAACAUAAACGUUUCAUCUCUUCCCCCAAGGAGCCUUGCUUGACAGCAGCAACAUGAGUAGAUUUCUACCCAGACAUUUCCUGGCAGUCUCUUCACUAGCAGAGAUUGUAAAAGCAGUCGUGCAUAAAGGGAAAGAAAAAAUGACUCUAUAAUCUGAAUCCCUUUUAAAAACUAGUAUAUAACAAUUUUACACAAUAGUGGGGCUCCUUAUG
rnacentral:lncRNA from 1 species